rnacentral:lncRNA from 1 species
CUUCUAUGUGGGAUGCCACCUGAGCGUGUCUUGACAAGCAGUACUAGGUCUGCGUCCAUGAUCCGAACCGGCAAGGCCCAGGCUACUGAAGCAGAGCGUGUGAACUUAACCACUAUGCCACCGUGCCGGCCCCUGUAAUGUAUAGUCCCACCUGGAAGGUUUCAAAGGUGAAUAUUCAAAUGCAAUAAGUAUGAACUCAGCAGGGAAGGCAGCCUUCACCCUGCUGGAGCCUACAUUCUUCCUUCCUCUGUCCUCCAGCUCCUCUAAAGCAACUAUUUAUUUUGGAAGCUCUGCUUUGUCGGAAAAGAAUUAACUCUUCAAAGCUCUGGUCCCUAUGAUCAUCUUAAAACAUUCUUACGAUCCUACACAAUCCUCGAGCCCAGUCUGAGAAACUUUGGCUGAACUAUGGAUGUUCACUGUGAGCUCUGGAUGAGGCCAUAGUCAUUGUCAGCUGUGCAGUAGUAUCCC